rnacentral:rRNA from 1 species
GACGAACGCUGGCGGCGUGCUUAACACAUGCAAGUCGAGCGGUAAGGCCCUUUCGGGGGUACACGAGCGGCGAACGGGUGAGUAACACGUGGGUGACCUGCCCUCAGCUCUGGGAUAAGCCUGGGAAACCGGGUCUAAUACUGGAUAUGACUCCAUGACGCAUGUUGUGGGGUGGAAAGCCUUGUGCGGCUGAGGAUGGGCCCGCGGCCUAUCAGCUUGUUGGUGGGGUGANGGCCUACCAAGGCGACGACGGGUAGCCGGCCUGAGAGGGCGACCGGCCACACUGGGACUGAGACACGGCCCAGACUCCUACGGGAGGCAGCAGUGGGGAAUCUUGCGCAAUGGGCGAAAGCCUGACGCAGCGACGCCGCGUGAGGGAUGACGGCCUCGGUG